rnacentral:rRNA from 1 species
AGAGUUUGAUCCUGGCUCAGAUUGAACGCUGGCGGCGUGCCUAACACAUGCAAGUCGAGCGGUAACGCGGGAGCAAUCCUGGCGACGAGCGGCGAACGGGUGAGUAAUGCUUCGGAAUCUGCCCAGUAGUGGGGAAUAACCAGCCGAAAGGUUGGCUAAUACCGCAUACGUCCUACGGGAGAAAGCGGGGGAUCGUAAGACCUCGCGCUAUUGGAUGAGCCGAAGCCGGAUUAGCUAGUUGGUAGGGUAAUGGCCUACCAAGGCGACGAUCCGUAGCUGGUCUGAGAGGACGACCAGCCACACUGGGACUGAGACACGGCCCAGACUCCUACGGGAGGCAGCAGUGGGGAAUAUUGGACAAUGGGGGAAACCCUGAUCCAGCGACGCCGCGUGUGUGAAGAAGGCCUGCGGGUUGUAAAGCACUUUUAGUGGGGAUGAAAAGCCCAGGGAUAACACCUCUGGGUCUUGACCUAACCCACAGAAAAAGCACCGGCUAACUCUGUGCCAGCAGCCGCGGUAAUACAGAGGGUGCGAGCGUUAAUCGGAAUUACUGGGCGUAAAGCGUGCGUAGACGGUAGCGUAAGUCGGGUGUGAAAGCCCCGGGCUCAACCUGGGAAUUGCAUUCGAGACUGCUCUGCUAGGGUGCGGAAGAGGGAAGCGGAAUUUCCGGUAGCGGUGAAAUGCGUAGAUAUCGGAAGGAACAUCAGUGGCGAAAGCGGCUUCCUGGUCCAGCACCGACGUUCAGGCACGAAAGCGUGGGGAGCAAACAGGAUUAGAUACCCUAGUAGUCC